rnacentral:rRNA from 1 species
CUACGGGAGGCUGCAGUGAGGAAUAUUGCACAAUGGGGGGAACCCUGAUGCAGCAACGCCGCGUGGAGGAUGACGCAUUUCGGUGUGUAAACUCCUUUUAUAUGUCAAGAAAAUGACGGUAGCAUAUGAAUAAGCACCGGCUAACUCCGUGCCAGCAGCCGCGGUAAUACGGAGGGUGCAAGCGUUACUCGGAAUCACUGGGCGUAAAGGACGCGUAGGCGGGCUUGUAAGUCAGGUGUGAAAUCCUACAGCUUAACUGUAGAACUGCACUUGAAACUACGAGCCUAGAGUAUGGGAGGGGAAGAUGGAAUUAGUGGUGUAGGGGUAAAAUCCGUAGAUAUCACUAGGAAUACCUAAAGCGAAGGCGAUCUUCUGGAACAUAACUGACGCUAAGGCGUGAAAGCGUGGGGAGCAAACAGGAUUAGAUACCCCAGUAGUC